ACAAGCUGACGAGUCCCGAAUAGGACGAAACGCGCGUCCUGGAU
rnacentral:hammerhead_ribozyme from 1 species